CGAUGAUUGGAUUUAUUUGCGCAGCAUAGGUGGAAGGGAUUGAGAUUACUCUUGCGGGAGUAGUGGAGCCAUCAGUGAGAUACCACUCCUAUAAUGUUAGAUUUCUAACUUUGGAUCAUGAUCUGGUCAAAGAACAGUUUCAGGCGGGCAGUUUGACUGGGGCGGUCGCCUCCCAAAUGGUAACGGAGGCGUACAAAGGUUUCCUCUGAACGGGUAGAAAUCGUAUCUAGAGUGUAAAGGCAUAAGGAAGCUUGACUGUGAGACCUACAAGUCGAGCAGGGACGAAAGUCGGUCUUAGUGAUCUGACGGUGCUGAGUGGAAAGGCCGUCACUCAACGGAUAAAAGUUACUCUAGGGAUAACAGGCUGAA
rnacentral:rRNA from 1 species